AGCGACAGAAGAAGCACCGGCUAACUCCGUGCCAGCAGCCGCGGUAAUACGGAGGGUGCGAGCGUUAAUCGGAAUUACUGGGCGUAAAGCGCAUGCAGGUGGUUUGUUAAGUCAGAUGUGAAAGCCCGGGGCGUCAACCUCGGAAUAGCAUUUGAAACUGGCAGACUAGAGUACUGUAGAGGGGGGUAGGAAUUUCAGGUGUAGCGGUGAAAUGCGUAGAGAUCUGAAGGAAUACCGGUGGCGAAGGCGGCCCCCUGGACAGAUACUGACACUCAGAUGCGAAAGCGUGGGGAGCAAACAGGAUUAGAUACCCUGGUAG
rnacentral:rRNA from 1 species